AGGGAGUUAGUCCAAGCAAGACCUCUGAUUUCGGCUCAGAAGAUCGCAGUUAAAGUCCGCGACCCUCUU
rnacentral:tRNA from 1 species